rnacentral:tRNA from 1 species
AAGGCCUUAGUUUAAUAAAAAUGUCUGAUUUGCAGUCAGGAGAUGCGAGUUAAUCAUCUUGUAGGUCUUA